CCCUUAGAUGUUCUGGGCUGCACGCGCGCUACACUGAUGCGCACAACGAGUUCUCACCUUGCUCGACAGAGUUGGGAAAACUUCUAUGCGCAUCGUGCUGGGGAUAGAGCAUUGCAAUUCUUGCUCUUCAACGAGGAAUCCCUAGUAAGGGCGCGUCAUCAACGCGUCCUGAUUACGUCCCUGCCCUUUGUACACACCGCCCGUCGCUCCUACCGAUUGAAUGGUCCGGUGAGUUGUCAGGAUGAGACGCUUUUGGCGGGCAACUGCGAGAAGCGACUCAGAAUCUCAGCAAACCUUAUCAUUUAGAGGAAGGAGAAGUCGUAACA
rnacentral:rRNA from 1 species